CAGUAGCCGCGGUAAUACGGAGGGCGCGAGCGUUACCCGGAUUUACUGGGCGUAAAGGCGUGUAGGCGGCCUGGGGCGUCCCAUGUGAAAGGCCACGGCUCAACCGUGGAGGAGCGUGGGAUACGCUCAGGCUAGAGGGUGGGAGAGGGUGGUGGAAUUCCCGGAGUAGCGGUUAAAUGCGCAGAUACCGGGAGGAACGCCGAUGGCGAAGGCAGCCGCCUGGUCCACUUCUGACGCUGAGGCGCGAAAGCGUGGGGAGCAAACCGGAUUAGAGACCCCCGUAGUCCCUGUCUCUUAUACA
rnacentral:rRNA from 1 species